CUCAAUAUGGGGGAUCACUUAGUCCUUAAAUCGAUGAAAAACAUAGUAAUUUGUGGAAAUUGAUGUGAGUUGUGAAAUUUUGUGAGCAUUGUGUUUUUGAAUGAAAAUUUCAGCACGGACACUUCUGUAUCUGUGCUACAUUUGUUUCAGUAUAUAAACCGAAUCAUAAGUAUUUACCUUUGCUGCAGCCCUCG
rnacentral:rRNA from 1 species